ensembl:lncRNA LINC00511 long intergenic non-protein coding RNA 511
GGUAACAGCAUUCUCAGGGCCUUCUGCCAAGGGCCCGCUUUGAUCUCCCUUAAAGGACAGCAUUAUCUGACCAGAGGUAAAUUGUAACCACUGAAAGUCCGCUGUUUCGAUUCUGGGCAAGAUGCUAUGGCAGAACAGGGACCAUGAUGAACUACUUAGAAAAAUACAUAAGGCCAUCUUAGAAAAGAAAUGAUGUGGAUGUGCUCACCAAGUUAUUUGCAGAGCUUAGCAGAGUGGGAUAGAAGAGACCCAUGCAGGAGACCUCUCCAGGUACACAUAUUUCCUGCUACUGAAUGGCUUAGACUGGGAUUUGCAAGGAACUACGAAGUCCAAGACCUUUGCCUUUCUUUUAGAAGAAGGCACCAGCUGGUUCUCCAAUGUUGAAGGUCUUCUCCAGAGAUGGGCAUGCAGAAGGAGUGAAAAAACAAGAAGGAAGACAAGGAAGACAUUGUUUUGGCUGCUGACAUUUCCUGAAAGAUCUGAGGCGUCCCCUUCACUUCGGGCAUGGGACCCAGACGGCUGAGUGAUGGACCUUAAGGUGUGGGGAGAUUACAACUUGCUCAAGGUCUCAUAGCUAGAAGAUGUCAGAGUGAUAACUCAAACCAUGUCACAUGACUCUAAGCCCAAAGCAGCCUCUAGAAGGUUGUUUGAUCUUCUGAUGGAAGCACAAAUCACCAUUCCAACAUGAAAGAUGGAGAAACUUAAGUCUAGAGAGAUUUAAAGGACUUGUCAAAGGCAAUGAAACAAGUGGAACUCUGAAAGCCACAUGUUGAGAUGGCCCCAUUACAGGAUGGAGAGCACCUGAACCCCCAAGUUAUGGACUAGAAGAAGACAGUUGCCCUGGAAAAUCAUCUGACCCACAUUGGACUUUAUGUGAGGGGGAAAUAAACCUUUAUUAUGUUAAGCUACACAAUAAUAAAUAACAACAAUAAUUGUG